UUUCCUCCCAACUUGCUUCUUGCUCAUGGUGUUUGUGCGGGAAUAGAAACCCUGACUAACACAUUGCUUUAACAGUCUUUAUUUUUCAUAGAUCCAGAAUUUGUAUAUUUCAGCCUAUCUCAGCCACUAAUGUAUUUCUUAAAAAUUAAAAUAUGCAAGUCAAAAUAAGUUUAUACAAUCUAGAAAGAAGUUAAGGUUCUUCCUUUUUAAAAAUAGUGCCUAUGUGUUUUCAAAGUCUUUAAAAAAUAGAAAACAGGCACCCUAGAACUCCUCCAAUUAGGACAUUUAUUUCUGCCUGGAUUCCAUUGUUUUGGCCUGAUUCUCAGACUCCUCCAAGAGAGUUUGAAGUUAUGAAGGUGUGAUAAGGUAUGUCUUUUCAUACAUCUGUAGAUUGAAAUUAAACUUACUAAAUGAGGUCUGUGUACACUCAUCUAUUAUAUACUAAAUACACUCUUUGAUAAUCAGUUCCAUGAAAUCUGCGAAUCCACAUGUCUAGCAGCAGACAUCCCCUCCUCCCUCCCUCCUUUCUAUGCCUUCCUAUGCUUUUCUCUCCCACUAUGUACUCCCCACCCCCCCAGCCCCAAUUUCCACCUCUACUACUUUUUAUAACCAACAUUCUACUCAGCAUCUCAAACCAAAAACUUGGACGUAAGCCUAAGUAGCUAUUAUAAACCCUUCACAGUCAGUCACUCGGCCUGGUCCAACUUAGUUUUGGUUGGUCAGUGUAAAAGUAACAGAACUUGACAAUCAGCAGCUUAAAUUGGAAAGAUACUGUUUUAAAUCCAGAGGUUAAAAAGAGAUAGUUUAGGCCAGGCGUGGUGGCACACACCUUUAAUACCAGCACUCAGGAGGCAGAGGCAGGCGGAUUUCUGAGUUCGAGGCCAGCCUGUUCUACAAAGUGAGUUCCAGGACAGUUUUUCUAUACAGAGAAACCCUGUCUCAACCCCUCCCCCCCCCAAAAAAAAGAGAUAGUUUAGCAGCUCAGUCAUAUUAAGAUUUUGCAACCUUCUACUCAUCUCUGCUCAACUUGCUGGCGUUUCUCUUUGAUUUGUGCCUUCACAGUUACUGCCAUAAUGAUUUAGUGUCACUAAAUUUAGUGUCAUCAUAUAACAAAAUGUGGAAGUUCAAUGUAUUGAGGAUGGGGACAGUUCUACCUGUACCUCUAUUCUAAGAGAGUCUUUCCUUCCAGAGAUUGUUCAGAAUUUACUUCGGUGUAACUAUGCUGCACCUGAAUAAGUAGAUUGCUGGCUUCUUGCCUCUAUAGGCAACUUUGUCCAUCAUACAUUUGACUUUCUGAAUUGUUUGCCCACAAGCACAUGUGGAGGUCGAACAGCCUCAGGUGUCAUGCCUCAGGUGCUCUCUACUUUUUUUUUUUUUUUUUAAGAUGAGGUUUCUAAUUGGCCUAGAUCCAUCUGUCUCUGCCUGUCCUGUGUUUCUAUUACAAAUUCUAUCAUGCUUGAGGCUGGAGAGAUGGCCUAGUGAUUAAGAGCCCUAACCACUCUUUCAGAAAGACUUGGGUUCAAUUCCCAGCACCCACAUUGCAGCUCACAACUGUCCCUCAGUUCCAGGGGAUCCAGUACUCUCGCAAAGACAUUCGUACAGGUAAAACACCAAUGUUCAUAAAAAUAAAAAUUUAGGAAAAAAAUCCAAAUGUUAUCAUGCUUGCCUUUGAGGGGAGUGUGGUAAGACAGUCUUUCACUAUGUAGCACACCAGGCUGGCCUAGUACUCGUAGAGAAUCUCCUGUUUCUGCCUUCUGAGUCCUAGAAUUCAAGGUGUGUGCCUCCAUGCCCUCCAGCUGUUGUUUUAAACAUAGGCUCUGGAGAGUGAACUCAGAUCCUUAUGCUUGCCAGGCAAGCGCUUUACCAACAGAGCCACUCUGCUAUCCCCAACUUUUUGAAUAUUUAAAAAUUUUCAAAUUAGAUUUGUUUUUCUUUAUUCUUGUUUUACCUGCCAGCAUGUACUUUGUUGUUGUUGUUGUUGCUCCAUUGUUUAGUUGAUUGGUUGAUUUUGAAACAGAAUCUGAUGUUGGCCAAGCUUGUCCUGAAUUCCUGAUCUUUAUUCCUUAAGUUGGCGUGUCUUUUAAGGGCUUGUCUCACUAAACAGGGACCCAUCUAUAAAUUUCAGUCACUUCACUAUAGAAAGACUUUGAGUUACAUCUAUAGUCUUCUGCCAUAUUAUAUAUUCACAGAUUUGGGGCAUUAGGUUGUGGUUAUCUUUGGGAGUCAUUGCACCUACCACACUAUCAAUGAAAGAUAUAAUUAUAAUCCCCAAAUAGUGUUCCUCUUAGUAGUUCCUUGACUUUUCAUAGAGUGACUUUUAGCCUAGUAACUAAAAGUAGAAUUUGGAAGCAUACAAAAGAAUUAAUAUAGAAAUCAUUUAUGAUUGGGAAGUACUCAGAGGUCAAUUAUUUGCAAGCAUAUCGGUAACUAAAGGUGUAGGGGCAUUGUAUUAGCUACUUUUUCUCAUUACAGUAGUAAAAUUUCUAA
rnacentral:lncRNA from 1 species